GGUGCUUCAAUAAUAGAGUUGAAUCAUUUACAUUUUUUUAAGGGAACAAAAUUCAAUAUAACCAUCAAGUACUGGAAUUUAUUCACUCUCAUUAAGAAGGGGUGACAAUUGGAGACCCUGUUUGCAAGUGCAAUACACCAAAUACCUACACCUGACGAGAUGAAAUUGCAUUGCUCAACUGUAAAAUGAGUUGCUGGUUAUAUAAGAAAAGAUUGGGUAUAUUACAAAUAUACAGCUUCAUGACUGAAAGGAAGAAAUGGAUCAAAAGAAGAAAAAAAAAUUCCUCAAGCAAACGGCAGCACUCAAGAAUCAACAAAAGAUAAAGAAAAAUCAUACUUUUCAGCUUAAGUACAGUUUUCAAGGGAGCUGCAAAAUUUAUAAGAGAUCACAAGUGUAUACGACUAUUUAUGUAAAAGAGGUUCUAUAUUAGAGAGUGAUUCUCUGCUUCUCUAAAUGGUAAGGAAAUUCUUCAAUCUUUCAAUAACAUGUCAAUCAAUUACUGAUCCUCUUCUUAUACCUAUCCCCUAGAGUCCCCUUUCUAGGAUGACAAUAAAUAAAUACCAACGGUACCUAAUCAACCAGAGCUAACUUUUCAAUGUAAGAAAACAUGUUCAUUAGUAGUGUAAAAUCAGCAUCGUUUCUAUCCUAAUUGUUUAACCACCAUGGGUUAUGCUUACCUACUCUAAAAAGCCGACACAAUGAAAUAUAAAUGUUGCACUGCACUGAAGGAUCAGAGUUAAUAUAUGUAAAGUUUUCCUGAAGAGUCAUCUGACAGAAGUUCCUGAUUGGAAAAAAAAAGAGGUAAGCCUGCUACAGAGAAUCAAGCUUCACAAGUUCAACAUUUAAAGGUUCUAAAUCUCCCUCCAAACCCUGUCUUUCUCAUCAGUAAAUUUUAUGAUGGAACUGCAGCUGAAACAAAAUCAGGGACUCAAAUCCACAAAUAAACCAGUUCUGGAAACAAGUACAUUUAUCCAUUGGUAGUUAUGUCGGCUGCAGUAACUUUGCACUAUAUGGUUUGUUUCCGUUCACUAUUUCCUUCAUCAGAAGGAAUAACAUAAUUCAACGACUCCAAAUCUUAUGCAGCAUCAUGGCUUGAUUCAUAUAAGAUGUAACUAUAAUAAUCUAUGUUUGAUUCCUGUAUUUAAAGAACAGUUCUUAAUGUAAUAACCUAAUCAGUAAGUUAAGUUUUAUCAAUUUA